UAAAAUACCUCCUGUGGAAACACUAUUAAGCUGCCCAUUAAACAGAUGGGGACACCAAGCCCAAAAGGAUGAAGUGACGUGUCCUGGGCCACCGCCAAAAUGGUGACAGAGCGAAACCUGAGUAUCCUGGCUUGGAGCUCUCCUAAGUAUUUGAAACUGGAGUGGAUCUCAGGUUACACAUGCAAAUCUGCUGGCAGAUAAGUGGCCCCAACCCAGGCUGAUCUCAGGACUUAUCACCUGGCUGAUUAAUACCUGAAUAUCAGGGCAGCGCUUCUGGAAAUGCCUCUGUCUCCCUCUGUGCACAGUCUCCGAAUUUCAUCCAGGUACAAUUCUUAGUUGCUAGACUUGCAUUUGAUAAGAAUUGGCUGUCCAGGGAACUUAAAAAGUCGCCCUUGGCUUCUGAGACUCAGUUCAGAUAUUUCUUGAGUGUUUACUGUGGGUCGAGCAUGCACCAGGCAUGGGAGCUACCCAGAGAUGAAGGAACUAUCUCCCUGCCCUGCCCUCCGGGAGUUCCCAGUUGAAUCAGACAGAUAGAAGACAUUCCCUUGCUCAAGAAUAAUUGCUUAAAGAUGGACAAAAAUGAUAAAAGCCAGUGUUGGUGACGGUGCAGGGAAACAGUCCCUCUCAUCCCCUGAUGGUGAGAAGGGAACUUGGCACAUUUCUGGAGCGCAGUUUGGUACAGGUAUCAAAAGUCAUAAAAUUGUGUCAACCCUUAAAACCCUGAAAUUCUACUUCUUGAAAUUGGCCCCAAGGAAGCAAUUAUAGCUGGGUACAAAGAUUUAGCCACAGUUAUGUUAAUGCGGCAUUGUUUAUAAUAAUUCA